rnacentral:rRNA from 1 species
CCUACGGGGGGCUGCAGUGGGGAAUAUUGGACAAUGGGCGAAAGCCUGAUCCAGCCAUGCCGCGUGUGUGAAGAAGGCCUUCGGGUUGUAAAGCACUUUCAGUGGGGAAGAAAGCCUUGGGGCUAAUACCCUCGAGGAAGGACAUCACCCACAGAAGAAGCACCGGCUAACUCCGUGCCAGCAGCCGCGGUAAUACGGAGGGUGCGAGCGUUAAUCGGAAUUACUGGGCGUAAAGCGCGCGUAGGCGGUCUGAUAAGCCGGGUGUGAAAGCCCCGGGCUCAACCUGGGAACGGCAUCCGGAACUGUCAGGCUAGAGUGCAGGAGAGGAAGGUAGAAUUCCCGGUGUAGCGGUGAAAUGCGUAGAGAUCGGGAGGAAUACCAGUGGCGAAGGCGGCCUUCUGGACUGACACUGACGCUGAGGUGCGAAAGCGUGGGUAGCAAACAGGAUUAGAUACCCGAGUAGUC